rnacentral:rRNA from 1 species
AUUGAACGCUGGCGGCAUGCCUACCACCUGCAAGUCGAACGAGUGGCGGACGGGUGAGUAAUGUCUGGGAAACUGCCCGAUGGAGGGGGAUAACUACUGGAAACGGUAGCUAAUACCGCAUACCAUCGGAUGUGCCCAGAUGGGAUUAGCUAGUGGGGGGGGUAACGGCUCACCAAGGCGACGCUCCCUAGAUGGUCUGAGAGGAUGACCAGCCACACUGGAACUGAGACACGGUCCAGACUCCUACGGGAGGCAGCAGUGGGGAAUAUUGGACAAUGGGCGAAAGCCUGAUGCAGCCAUGCCGCGUGUAUGAAGAAGGCCUUCGGGUUGUAAAGUACUUUCAGCGGAGAGGCGUUACUCGCAGAAGAAGCACCGGCUAACUCCGUGCCAGCAGCCGCGGUAAUUC